AUCAUACUCCCUCCAUCCGAAAAUACCUGUCAUCAAAAUGGAUAAAAGGGAUGCAUCUAAAACUAAAAUACGUCUAGAUACAUCUCCUUUUAUUCAUUUUGAUGACAGAUAUUUCCGGACGGAGAGAGUAUUUU
rfam:Triticum aestivum genome assembly, contig: Triticum_aestivum_CS42_TGACv1_scaffold_329068_4BS